AUGAAACCUUGCUACCAAGAGUUCCUCAGCGAGUGCAUUCCCCAGGGAUCCACAACGUGCAGCUGGAGCAGCAAAAAAGUUGGGAUCGAAAGCUGCAUUGACUUUUAUUGGGAAAUCUCCAGCUGUCUAGUGAAGAAGUCUGAACUCCAGCUGCUUCCUACGCAUCUGGGAUCCCCAGUGUUGCUGGCUGCUGUUUGUGAGGUCUCAGUGGGUCCUGCUGCAGGACUGCCUGGCUUAGGAUUUCGGCUCUUCAUUCUGCAUUCUGCUAUUCCUUGCUCUGUUGGCACAGCAGCAGGCUGGCCUCUUACGUGAGAAUCGCAGAGAUGAUGAUCAUGGCAGUGUUUAAUUGUUCUAGGAAGCCGAGAGAAGAAUGGUUUGGAGUGGCCUGGCCCUGAGCAGGUGCAAGUGCUGUUGGCUUCCUGCAAAACUGAGCUACAUCCAAAGAGCUGAUUUUUCUAGAGGCUGUUAGAAGAUGCCGUAACCCUCCUCAACUUAGCAGGUUUGUGCCGGAAAGGAAUUUGCUCUGCUCCUGAUGACAGUGCGCACAGUCUUGCUUCCAGCAAAACCCGUGGCCAAGCUUCCAUUGACGUUAGCAGCAAGGCGCGCAGGCCAAUCCCACAAACACGGGCCCCGUUUCCACUUGGGCUAUCUCGCCGUUACCUUAGCUGCCUUCUGGUGUGCGUUCCCUUCAACCAGGCAGAUUUUUCAUUUUCAUAUUGAAAGCAGAACAAUUUCUCUGAGAGCAGCUCUCUCAGCCAUACUAUCCUGCCAAUGGAAAAAGUGACACUAAAAAUAAACUGUUUCGGAAAGAAGCA
rnacentral:lncRNA from 1 species